GCAUUCGUGGUGUAAUGGUCAACACGCUGGGCGCGUAUUCCAGAAGUCCAUGGUUCGAGUCCCGUCGAAGGUG
rnacentral:tRNA from 1 species